rnacentral:piRNA from 1 species
UUGAACUCACAUAGAUCUUCCUGCU